rnacentral:rRNA from 1 species
AUUGAACGCUGGCGGCAGGCCUAACACAUGCAAGUCGAGCGGAGCGGCGGACGGGUGAGUAAUGCCUAGGAAUCUGCCCGGUCGUGGGGGAUAACGUCCGGUAACGGGCGCUAAUACCGCAUACUAUUAGAUGCGCCUAGGUCGGAUUAGCUAGUUGGUAGGGUAAUGGCCCACCAAGGCGACGAUCCCUAGCUGGUCUGCGAGGAUGACCAGCCACACUGGAACGGAGACACGGUCCAGACUCCUACGGGAGGCAUCAGUGGGGAUUAUUGCACAAUGGGCGCAAGCCUGAUGCAGCCAUGCCGCGUGUAUGAAGAAGGCCUUAGGGUUGUAAAGUACUUUCAGCGGGGAGGCGUUACCCGCAGAAGAAGCACCGGCUAACUCCGUGCCAGCAGCCGCGGUAAUUC